rnacentral:lncRNA from 1 species
AUUGGGGAACCUCCUUACAGAUUGACAAGUGUGGAAAUCUGGGCUCCUCACUUGACCUUUGCUGGCCUGGUGGGGUUAGAGACAGAUUUUCUGUGAUGUUUGAUAUAGUAAAGAGGUUGUUAUCUAAAAGUUUUCUGUCUUACCAGUCUGCCGCCCUUUCCUGGAACUUUGGCUCAAGAGGCUUUUCUGGGGGCUUGUUUUGUCUGUGCUCCCUGGCAUUUCUGAGUAUCCAGCUCCUCCAACAUCUCAUCUGAGACAUAGGAGGCCGAAUAAAAUCCAGGAAACUCCUACCAUAUAUCUUGUCCCUCUGAUCCUGAGGUUGAUAGCCAGUCUUUUUCUCUCUAACUUUCAGUGCCUUCUUAUGUUUGUUUUAUGUAUAAUAUUCAUGGUUUUAGCUAUACUUAGUAAGAGGUACAGGGAAAAGUGUAUUUUUCACUCUGUCUUUCUGGGAUGAGAAAUCAAGAACCAGAAAUGUUUAUUAUUGCCCUAGGAACCUAGGAGAAGACGGGUUGUGGCUUUGUGUCCCUAGGUAUUUGGAGGAUGGGGAGAAGCUGUCCAUAAGUGGUAGCAGGGAUCCAGCAAUAUGGUGGCAGGCUGGACUAAAGGAGAGAUGACUGGGAAGCAAUUUCCUGUGGUGCAUGACAGCUGAUGGAUGGAUGUCAGAAACAGUGGUGUCUGAUGAUCCAUUUGAAGCCAUUUCCUCCUCUAUAUUGCUAUUACUGUCCAUCUCCCCCUAAAUUUUCAGUAAGCACCUAUUAUAUAAAGCACCUUAGUAUUAAAAAAUGAAGGAGAUGAAAGAGAAGGUUGUGCAGUUGUAUUUUGGGCCAAGAAGAGUGGGAGAGGUGGCAGGGCCAGCGAUGAAGAGCCUGCCAGAGUGAUGGAGGCCUGAGCAAGGAGCAAGUUGGUGAAGAAAGAUUAGGACAUUGCCAUGUGGAGUCGCUGUGGAAGCCUGUUUGUUCUCAGAGCUCAGUGGAGAAGAGGUAAAAGUAGGGACCAGUAGCUGAGUCAUUAUGAGAAAGAGGGUUUCAUGGUGGUGGAAGUGACACAUUGCCUCGAUUCUCUUGAAGCUUUCUGCUUUGUUGCUUGAGUGGAGAGAAGCACCUCUGCUAUUGCGUAUGGAGGGAAGCUCUUUGCAUGGAUUUUGAAGGCGGCCUCUGCAUUUCGGACUACUGGGUGCUCCCCCACAGGCUCCUAACACCUUGCUGCUUCUCCAGGUGGGGUCUGACGUGGAGUCAGCUCACAGACCUGCCAUUCCUCUCUCAUAGUACUCCUCAUUCCAGUGAUAUCUUGGCCUGCUUCAUGAACCCUGAGCCCAGAGUUCCUAAAGCACCAAACCCAGUGAAGCAGAGACACUUCUGGCAUGGGUCUGUGGGUUGCUUCUCAGGGGCCAGGCCAGCAAGAAUGAUUCAGCACACAGGCCAACCUGUGCAAGCUUUAUGCAUGCAUUUUAGGGCAAUGGGAAGAGUGGUGAGUGAGGUUUAUGGUAAAUCUUUAACCACAUUCAAUUUUUUCUAAGACUUUUCUGCUUUAGAACAUGUAGAAAUGGAGAAAUGACCAGGGGCUGCACAAUGCUGUGCUUAUUAUAUUGCUGUAGAGAGAAGGAUGCUGCCAGCUCUCCAUAGCCUGGGGUGAACUUGGCCUAUGUAAUGAGGUAGCAGGGAGUCAGGCAGGUGAGUUCUUCCUCUUGUAUUGCCUUUUCCAGUAAAUGCCAAUACACUCCCCAGCUCACCUUUACCUAACAUCUAGGUCUUAAUCCAAGUUGUCCUCCCACUCCCCAGGGUGAAUUGAUCUUCCUGCCACGGCACCUCCUGAGCAUCUGUUGGCUGAGUCUCCAUCCCCACCCGUGAAAACAGCCUUGUGAUGUGCUGUUUAAUAUCACAGAAUGGAAACAGUGUUUUGAUUCACCAGGAUCCAAACACUCUUUUUGUAGAAUCUACAAAGUGACAUGGAUGGCCAUAUUUUAGAGGACUGUUCCUGCAGCUGGUGGGGAAGCCCUGUUUAUAUCAGGAACCCAACAAUGAUGACAGUAGCUGUUAUGGACUGAAUUGUGUUCUCCCCCCAAAUCCAUAUGCUGAAGUCCUAAAACCAGGACCUCAGAAUGUGACCGCAUUUGAAGGUAGGGUCUUUAAAGAGGUAAUUAAGUGCACAAUGAGGUCACAAGGAUGGGCUCUAAUCCAAUAUGACUGGUGUACUUAAAAGAAAUAAAUAUU